rnacentral:lncRNA from 10 species
AGAAGAUAUCUAUUUCAAGUACAAUAUGUAUAAGACAAAUUAAAAAUAAGCGGUAGGCAAGGUCAAAUCAAACAUAUAAUUUUACAGAAACUAGCCUUAGACAAUAACUAAAACCAUGGAAAGGAAUGAUUUAUUCUGGAUAUUGGCUGCUAAAGAGCACUGACCCAUAUAUAGAAUGCUUUGGUAAGAAGAGACUCAAUUUCUUAGACUAAACCCCAAAGAUACAGACUUUUGAUGAAUUUAGAUAACAGAGGGUCACUUGAAUCUUCAUUUUAGGCACCUAUUUUGGAAAUGUGAGGAAAAAAGUCAGUUUAGUGGAAAUUGGAGGGCUUCCAAUAAAAACAGUCUUGUAAAUUCAUUCUUUGAAGACUCUUCUGCUCAAAAGCAAUAGCAAUGGCAGACUAAAUACAAAAAGAGAUGACUAAAAAGAUAGAGCCACAGUCAAAAAUUAGUUAAACAUCUCCAAGGACCAUAAAUACAAGAAAAGCAAAAUGCAAUAAGCAGGUUGGAAACCAUGGGGCCUGAAAGUCUUUAGAUCCAGAAGUCGACUGAGGCAACUAGAACUUCUAAUCUCUCAGCAGAACUGACUUCGUGUGAAAGACAAAGGCCAGACUUGCUGCCUGGAAGUGGAAGCAGGGCUCUCUCAUCUGUGUUGAGAAAGGCACUCAUCUGUGUAUCUAGCGAGACGGGAGAAAGUGGUCAUUUUAGAACAAGCCACCACAAGCCAGACAAAGGAAACCAAGAGAAUUUGCCAGUAGCAGAUAUACCCUCACUAGCAGAUAUACCCUAAAUGAAUGGCAAAGGAAGUCCUCUAUAACCAGAAGAAAAAGGAUUGAAAAAAGGAGUCUUAGAACACCAGGAAGAAAAGAAGAAUAAUGGAAAAAGCAAAAAUGGCAAGUUGAGCAGUGAAGUGGCAGCCUGCUGUGUUGGGGUGAUGGCCUCACUUUUGUCAUAUUAAUGUGAGAUACAUAAGCAGGAAAGAGGUUAGAGAAAUUUCCUGAAUUACCUGGAGCCACAAAGAAAAACUAAAAGCUAAGUUUUUAUUUAUAUUGCUAGCAUUUUUGUUAGAUACAACGGUAUUUGAUACCUUUUAACUUCUAUCAAAUGUAUUAUUUAAAAAUCAUCAAUCUAGAAUUGAUGCUUAAUAAUUUUGUCAAAAAUAUUAAGUAUUAAUCAUUGUAUUAUCAUGAUUUUUUUUUUUUUGAGACAGAGUCUCACUGUGUCGCCCAGGCUGGAGUGCAACGGCGCGAUCUCAGCGGCUCACUGCAACCUCAGCCUCCUGGUUCAAGCAAUUCUCCUGCCUCAGCCUCCUGAGUAGCUGGGAUUGCAGAUGCGCACCAGUAUUAUCACAAUUUAAAAAAGGGUUUUGUAAAAUAUUAACUCUCAAUCUCCACUAAACCUAAAACAUCUCAUAUACACUCUAAUAUCAAAAAACAAAUGGUUUAACUGUAUUUAAACAGUGGGAAUAAACAUAGAGAGGUCAUUAUGUCAAUAUCAAGUUCACUCUAAUGUGUGAGUAAAUUUUAUGAUUAAGAAGUGUUGUCUAAUUGUUUUCUAAGGCAGUGGGACUCACCUAGCACAGCUGUGAAAAUUCCACAUCUUUUCACACUGAAGUUUAAAUUGAAAAAUAGAGGCCAUGUAAGUUUAUGAAGUAUGGUGAUAAAGUUAUUUCGUGACCGUUUUUUUUAAAUGUCUAUCAAUGGAAAUACUGUAACUGAUGUGGUGGUAAUAUUUAGCUACCAGAAAAAAACCAUGGCUAAGCCUUAUGAAUAUUAUCACUUCUCCCUGUAUAGGCCUGCACUGGAAAAGUCAUUCAUUCAACUACAGUAUUACACCUCUCAUGGUAACCAUUACUGGAGGCUGAUUCUUUACCUCUCCACCUCCUUUAAUCUGUAACAAGAGAGUGAUGGCUACAAUUCCACAGACUUUAAACACUGGUCAGCAUUUAAGUUUUUCUUCUAUCUUUCAGGAGGCACUAAGAACAUAUUUUGCACAAAAAACACUAAUAAGAUUGCAGAAUAAAAGUCUCAAUCAUGCAUAUAUUCUUUCCCCACUUCUUUUACUCUUCUGUUGAGUUAGUGCUUAAAACAAAAUACCGCACCUUUCUCCAUCAAUUUCCUCCAUGAAAUUCAAAGUAUUCAGGUGAGGAUAGGUUAUUUUCACAUCCAGCCUGUGUAUCUCGCUGCAUCAUGAGAAGCUCAGCUGCUGCUGUUGUUUUGUUUUUGUCUGAAGGCAGGAUGUGUUUGAUUCUCUUUUUAAAGUUACUCAAGAGAAAAUGUUGACUGCUGUAAUAAAAAUCUGGAUGAAAUUGUAGUACAAUGUGUUCUGAGACUCAUACUCUAGGAAAUGUAUGCAGAGUACACUGAGAUUAAUAAAUGAAGUGGAAAAAUCUUCUAUAUUAAAAUGUUUUUCUCUUGAAA